rnacentral:lncRNA from 1 species
AAUAGAGUUAGUCCGGGUUAGUUCCAUUCAAAUCAUGCAAAUUAGUGUCCAAAACAAGGGCAAAAGAGUUUGGAGAAGUAGAUACGACGGAGAUGUAUCAACCCACUUUGGUCUUUUGAAAAUGUUUAGCACCACACUGUGUUUUCUGUUCUGGAGCAGUUUUCUAGUUUGCGCUGCUAACCUAUUAUUUUCUUGGCCAAAGCUUUUGAAAAUUUUACUACCCCUAGAGAAAUCUACCAAACCCUUAAGUACAAGAGAUCAACCCCUUUUGGAUUUAUUAAGCCCCUCUUUUAACCUUCCUAAGUUGUUGCCGAGAGUUGUUUUUCUCUAAUUAAUGCACUAACAAGUUUCCGAUCUUCAAAAACUAACCUUGCCACCAUUAUUAACAUCCAAAGAGACCUUGGACUGGGAAUUUUGGUGGCCGGAAAGAUUGCCUAGGUGCCCCUGGCAUUUUGCCAAACACUUAAGGUGCAUGACCUGAAUUGGCAUGGUUCUAGGUUUGCAUUGGGGACUUAAACCCUCUGGCCAAACCAGCAUGUCCACUAACCAUGUGCCACCCCUAACGAUAGAUCUGGAGACUUGUAGUUGCACACAAUGGCCCUGGCAUGCUCUGGCAUUGUGUCGAGCACCUGAAGGGCAUGCCAAGAGCGCGCUCCAGAGCACGGCUUCUGCAGCCAGCGCAACUGAGUCACCACAUCCCACCUAACCCCGCCAUG